rnacentral:misc_RNA from 1 species
ACGUAAAACAACCACAGACACAAGUUUUUUUUUUUUUUUUUUAUUUAUUAGAAUAUUUACAAUCAAUUCUCGUUGAGAAUUUUCAGUAACUUAAUUUGGCGUGAUACAAUGACAUGGAUUAUAAUAGCUUUAUAUUGUUGAUUCUAGUAGGACUAAGGAUUUAAUCUAGUGGGUAUUUUCUUUUUAGUCUGCGGAUCUGGUCCGUCGUGUCCAGUAGUUGGGUGACUAGUGGGUUGUGGUGGUUGUUGACUCUUGUGUUAUAUCUGCUUCUGGACUUGUGUAUUUCGUCUUUGACUGUAGGUAUCUUGAGGUCGCGGUGGAUUGUUUCGUUGGUAACAUACCAGGGUGCAUUUAAUAGGGAUCUUAGCGUUUUCGAUUGGAAGCGUUGGAGUAUUUCAAUGUUGGAGUUACUUGCUGUUCCCCAUAGUUGGAUUCCGUAGGUCCAGACAGGUUUUAUUACGG